ensembl:lncRNA FTX FTX transcript, XIST regulator
GGGGAGAGGGAGGCACGCAUGCGCAAGGCUUGAAUGGCGUCGGGGUUGGAGGGUUGGAAGGUCGGGAAGUGAAGGACUCGCAGGCAUAUUUAACAACGCAAAGUUGCUAGGAGUUGGUACCAGCGUUUGGGAGGUAGAGGUGGCGCUCAUGCAUAUUUGAGACAACAUCUGGAUGGUUGGGGAGAACGGUGAUGCCACACUCAAUCAGAAACUAUGCUACUGCUGAAGAGGUAUAUUGAGCCCUGCCUGGUUAACCUCCAGUGAGGUUAUUAGAGAAUUGGGAGAGGCUCAAAUCAGCAUCCUGCACCUAGUUAUCAAACCAUUGUGAAGUCUUGAUUCCUGGAUGGCCAGAAAACUUGUCAUUGGUCAAGAGCAACAUUAAGAUCUGCCUGUUACUCAUACUGAUGCUUCCUGCCCAGCAAGUUCAUCAGAGGGCGAGGAUGAAUUACGGUUGCCAUGAAUGUCCUUGUGAGGCAGUUGGGAAGCCUUGGCUGGAUUGUGAAGGAUAUUUGAAAAGUAUUUUAGAGUCCACCAGAUCAUCCAUGUGAGUGACCAUGCAGCAAAAGAAGGAGGGUCCUCUCAGUGAUUAAGGAUUAUGAAGUAUUAAUUCUUCCACUGAUAUCUCAAAAGGUGAUCUGGACAAAGGAACAGGUAUCUCAGCUUCCAAGUUUGCUGGAGCCAUGUUUUCUCUAAUGUCCCCACAGAACAGUGGUUGGUAGGAUGGCGGAGACAUGGACUUCAGAGAGUUCUUGGUAGAAGACUCAAAGAGCCACCUGUCAUGAGACAUCCCACUUCCUUCCCCAGGUUACUUCCAAGACUGAGCAGCCAGGUUUUUGGUAGAUGAGAACAAAUGUUUCUUCCUGAAGCCCUGGGGCUUCAGGUAGGAAGAAGGACUGCUAUACUUGUUCUCACCCUUGGCUUCUGGCUGCUCCAGUUAAACAUGGUUCCCAUUGAUACAGACAUUAGAGUGGGAAAGGACUUCGUUCAUAGACCGAAGACCCUCAAAGGAAAGUCCUUCCAUUUUGGGAAGGGUGACAUUGAUUUCGUUUAGCUGCUUAAGAUAUGUACUUGCUGUUGUCUUGUGAGACAUGACAUCUGAAGCUGAAGAGGAGUCCCUCUCAUUGUUGUCAUUGUCCCACCGGGACUGAAAGUCUCCCAGUUGAGGCAGCAUUUUAGCUUUGAUGUCUACAGGGCAAUCAUGGAUCAGGAAAUUUCUGCAAAUUAGACUUGGAAAACAAGGUCUUGAUCCUUCUUGUCUUUGGACGAAGACUAAUCAUCACUUUUGACUGAAGGUGUAGUGCUGGAGACUAUGUUGGAGGCAGCACCUGAUGCACUAUCCAUAUUCUUCCCCUUGAUCUUGUCUUAAAGUUUUCCAAAUGGAUUCCGAGGCUUGUCUUUGAUGAAAAGGUCAAACAUACUGGCAGUCAUGUUGUUUCUCAUAAGCUGGAUGUCAACCUCAAUUUCUCCUCUUUAUCCUUCUCUCCUGGUUUGGAUUUCAAGGUAUACCACCGCAUCUUCCUGCUCCCCUAGUCUGGGUGCAGGUCCUGCAGGUACACCUCGGCGAAGCCCAAGUACAGUAGCAGCAGCACCUCAAAGGUGGCCUCCUCCUCUGACACUGAGGUGGCAUACUUCUCCUUACCCACCUGAAUCACCGAGUACAUGUUGCUUGUACCGUCAGGCUCUUGGUUCUUGGCCCCUGGCCCUAUGCCUGCAACACUGUCACCUGCACGUGGAUUGGGAACCACAUAGCCCCCGGACCUGCUAAGGCCAUUAAGGACAGGAUGGUGAUGCCUCGGCUGACUGACGUGAGAAGAUUGUCAUGACCCAUGGCCUCUACUGCUGUCCUACCAACAGAAACUUCAUAAUGUUGUGCAGGCGUUACCACUACCUAGUUCCAGAACAUUGCCAUCACCCCCAAAAUAAAUCUUGCAUUCAUUAAGCAGUCACCCCUAUUUUCCCCCAUCCCUGUCAACCACUGAUUUAUGUUCUGUCUCUAUGGAUUCCCCUGUUCCGGAUAAUUCACGUAAAUGGAAUAACACAAUAGAUGCCUUUUAUCAUGGGUUUCUUUCACUUAGGAUGUUUUGUAGGGUAAUCCAUAUAGCAUGUAUCAGGACUUCAUUUUUUUUUUUUUUUUUUUUGAGAUGGAGUUUCAUUCUUCUUGCCCAGGCUGGAGUGCAGUGGUGCAGUCUCAGCUCACUUCAACCUCUGCCUUCUAGGUUCAAGCGAUUCUCCUGUCUUGGCUUCCCAAGUAGCCAGGAUUACAGGCGCCUGGCACCAUGCCCAGCUACUUUUUUUGUAUUUUUAGUAGAGACAGGGUUUCACCAUGUUGGCCAGGCUGGUCUCAAACUCCUGACCUCAGGUGAUCCGCCUGCCUCAGCCUCCCAACGUGCUGGGAUUACAGGCGUGAGCCACCAUGGUCAGCCUUCAUUCAUUUUCAUGGAGAAAAAUAUUUCAUUGUAUGAGUAUACCACAUUUUGUUUAUCCAUUUAUCCAUUGAUUGGUUGUUUCUACUUUUUUUUAGCUAUUAUGAAUAAUAUUGCUGUGAACAUUUGUGUACAAGGUUUUAGUGGACACAAGUUUUUAUUUUUCUUGGGUAUAUAUCUAGGAGUGGAAUUGCUGGGUCAUAUUGUAAUUCUGUUCAACUUUUUGAAGAACUUCCCAACUGUUCUCCAUGGUGGCUGUGCCAUUGUAUAUUCCUACCAGCAGUGUAUGAAGUUACAAAUUUCUCCACAUCCUGAGAACCCCUUUAUUAUUUUCUGUUUUUCUUUUUGAUUAUAGCCAUCCUAGUAGGUGUAAAGUGGUAUCUCAUUGUGAUUUUAUUUUGCAUUUCCCUAAAUGAUUAAUGAUAUUGAGCAUCUUUUCAUGUGCUUCUUGGCCACUAGUAUAUCUUCUUUGAAGAAAUGUCUAUUCAAGUCUUUGGCAGUUUCUAAAUGAGUUAUUGUCUUUUUGUUGUUAGGUUGUAAGAGUUAUAAUCUGGAUAACAGAUCCUUAUUAGAUAUGUAAUUUGCACAUAUUUUCUCCCAUUUUGUGGGUUGUCUUUUGUCUUUUUUAUUUUUUAUUGCUUGUGUUUUGGUAUCAUUAUUGAUAAUUCAUUGUUAAAUUAAAGGUCAUGAAGAGU